AGGAAGGUCAGCUCAGCUGAAGGGAUAGUGAAGGAAGAGCCCAGGUGGAGACCCAGCACAGUUCUCAGCUAACUCUGCUCCUACAAAAGUGGACAGGAAACCAAAAAAGGCAGCAGGAAAGGAUACAUCUUCAGACAAAACAAAAGUGAAAAGGAAAGCAGAGAAAAUACAUCGCAGUGGCAAACCAAGAAACUAAAGAUUUACCUACCUACAGAAAACAGAGAAACUAAACUGAGAAAG
rnacentral:lncRNA from 1 species